CCGAUUAUGACCUGAUGGAAUGACCAGUAGAUUUCCCAAGAGGAAUGUGAAGGAACUGGUUGCCCUCUAAACAUGGCCAGGACCACCACGGGGUCCAAGUUACCACUUUCAAUCAAUUACAAAGUGCCCAUUCCCUACCAUCUAAGGCAAGCACAAGCGCUGGAGAGGAGAGGACAGCAGCACAGGUGGAAACAAUGGAGAAGCAAAAAGUGAAGUGAGGGCAAGAGCCGAGAAGAAAAGAACCCGGGGGAUGUAAAGCAAAAAAAGAUUUAGAAACUCUUCGAGUUCGGCGAGGGCUGGGAGACCUAAAAACUACUUCAAGAAGGAAGACGGAAGGAAAGAGGCAAGGGCCUGCAGGCGAGAGGCCCCACCCCUAAGCCCUCGGGCAGACAGCCCCGCCCCCGAGGGGAGGAGGGACUUCCUCCCUGCGGGCAGCUGCUUCCGGUGGAGUCCGGAAGACGCUAUCGGGAAGGGACUAAAACUGCGCAGCCAAUCGGGGCGACACUUUCGUCUUACCGGAGGACUCGUGGGUAACUUGCUCUUGGGAACCAGUACCAUGGCGUCUGGCUGCAAGAUUGGCCCGUCCAUCCUUAACAGCGAUUUGGCCAAUUUAGGGGCUGAGUGCCUCCGGAUGCUGGACUCUGGGGCCGAUUAUUUGCACCUGGAUGCACCCUGCUCUUCAGGGAGGUCAGUUUUUUUGCAUUUUGUUCCCAACAUCACCUUUGGGCACCCUGUGGUAGAAAGCCUCCGAAAGCAGCUAGGCCAGGACCCUUUCUUUGAUAUGCACAUGAUGGUGUCCAGGCCGGAACAGUGGGUAAAACCAAUGGCUGUAGCAGGAGCCAAUCAAUAUACCUUUCAUCUUGAGGCUACUGAGAACCCUGGGGCUUUGAUAAAAGACAUUCGGGAGAAUGGGAUGAAGGUUGGCCUUGCCAUCAAACCAGGAACUACAGUUGAGUAUUUGGCACCAUGGGCGAAUCAGAUAGAUAUGGCCUUGGUUAUGACAGUGGAACCUGGGUUUGGAGGGCAGAAAUUCAUGGAAGAUAUGAUGCCAAAGGUUCAUUGGUUGAGGACCCAGUUCCCGUCCUUGGACAUAGAGGUCGAUGGUGGAGUAGGUCCUGACACUAUCCAUAAAUGUGCAGAGGCAGGAGCUAACAUGAUUGUGUCUGGCAGUGCCAUUAUGAGGAGUGAUGACCCCAGAUCUGUGAUCAACCUGUUAAGAAAUGUUUGCUCAGAAGCUGCUCAGAAACGUUCUCUUGAUCGAUGAAACCGUGAGGAGUCCAGUGUUUACGCUCAUGAAAUCUUUCUCCUGGAAAACAAGAAUAUCGACUACCAAAACAUACCACAGUUGAAGCAGGGCUGUUUCUCUGAGCAGCUGUUCAUUCCAGUGACUAAAAUCUAUCCUGCAGAAUGUUCCAAGAGGUUAGAAAUUGCAGAACCAGAUGGCUGAGGAUAUUCUGGACGUUAUGGAUUUUGACCCCAAGGAUAUAUAUUAUAUUAAUCCAACAAAGACCAGGUAGGCUAAAAGAUGAUAAGGUAGAGUUAAUCCAUAAAUAUUUAAAGUUGUGUCCCAAAUUAUACUUUGACAACAAAUAUGUAUCUGCCACUUGCAAAUAGUCUUGAUAUAUGGCAAGAAAUAACAGGACCUAAACUUCAGGCUACUAUGAGUUUUGAGAAAUAAAAAGUUUGAAAAAUAAGAACAUUAACACUUCUGCAUAGAAUAGAGCUUGCUUGUUUUUUUCCUAUACUACAGUGUAAAAAUUUGUUUUUGACUUAGGAAAGGUUUGUGCCAUGAACAGGUGCCGUUUAAUCAAAUCAGACAACACGAGGCAUAUAGAAAUAACUUUAAUUAAAAAACUUACAUAGAAGAUUAUAAUGUCAGACAUGACAAAAAGAUUUGAGCUUAUUUGCCUAGACAACUUGGGUUUGUCUGGCUUUUGUUUUCUUUUUUAAAAAUAAAUGUACAGUAAAACUACAAGCAAAAA